rnacentral:rRNA from 1 species
AACGAACGCUGGCGGCGCGUUUUAAGUAUGCAAGUCGAGCGGUAAGGUCCUUCGGGACCCCAGAGCGGCGGACGGGUGAGUAACACGUGGAUAAUCUGCCUUCCAGUCCGGGAUAGCACAUGGAAACAUGUGAUAAUACCGGAUACGAUGUGCCUGCCACAUGGCGGGUGCAGGAAAGGUCCUGCGGGAGUCGCUGGGAGGAUGAGUCCGCGGCCCGACUUAGCUGGUUGGCGGGGGUAAAGGGCCCGACCCAACGGCGACGAUGGGUAGGCCGGCCGUGAGAGGGUGGACGGCC